UCUGUGGAGAAGGAACUGAUUAUUAGUAUAAUGGCAUGAAAGAGAGAAGAAUAGCAUUGACCCUGCAUAAAGAUAGCUCUCAAAUUUGGAAGCACUACAUUUCU
rnacentral:snRNA from 1 species